rnacentral:rRNA from 1 species
CCAAACCGACACAGGUGGGCAGGAUGAAAAUUCUAAGGCGCUUGAGAGAACUCAGGAGAAGGAACUCGGCAAAUUAACACCGUAACUUCGGGAGAAGGUGUGCCCCGGUAGCGUGUAGAGACUUGCUCUCGAAGCGCGAUGGGGUUGCAGUGAAAUGGUGGCUGCGACUGUUUAAUAAAAACACAGCACUCUGCAAACACGAAAGUGGACGUAUAGGGUGUGACGCCUGCCCGGUGCCGGAAGGUUAAGUGAUGGGGUGCAAGCUCUUGAUCGAAGCCCCGGUAAACGGCGGCCGUAACAAUAACGGUCCUAAGGUAGCGAAAUUCCUUGUCGGGUAAGUUCCGACCUGCACGAAUGGCGUAACGAUGGCCACACUGUCUCCUCCUGGGACUCAGCGAAGUUGAAAUGUUUGUGAAGAUGCAAUCUACCCGCGGCUAGACGGAAAGACCCCAUGAACCUUUACUGUAGCUUUGCAUUGGACUUUGAACCGGUUUGUGUAGGAUAGGUGGGAGACUGUGAAGCCGGGACGCUAGUUUCGGUGGAGUCAACCUUGAAAUACCACCCUGAUUUGUUUGAGGUUCUAACCUUGGUCCGUGAAUCCGGAUCGGGGACCGUGCAUGGUAGGCAGUUUGACUGGGGCGGUCUCCUCCCAAAAGGUAACGGAGGAGUACGAAGGUACGCUUAGGGCGGUCGGACAUCGCCCACAAAGUGCAAUGGCAAAAGCGUGCUUGACUGCGAGACCCACAAGUCGAGCAGGUACGAAAGUAGGUCAUAGUGAUCCGGUGGUUCUGUAUGGAAGGGCCAUCGCUCAACGGAUAAAAGGUACUCUGGGGAUAACAGGCUAAUUCCUCCCAAGAGUUCAUAUCGACGGGGGAGUUUGGCACCUCGAUGUCGGCUCAUCACAUCCUGGGGCUGUAGUCGGUCCCAAGGGUAUGGCUGUUCGCCAUUUAAAGUGGUACGCGAGCUGGGUUUAAAACGUCGUGAGACAGUUUGGUCCCUAUCUGCCGUGGGCGCUGGAAAUUUGAAGGGGGCUGCUCCUAGUACGAGAGGACCGGAGUGGACGAACCUCUGGUGUACCGGUUAUGACGCCAGUCGUAUCGCCGGGUAGCUAAGUUCGGAAGAGAUAAACGCUGAAAGCAUCUAAGCGUGAAACUCGCCUUAAGAUAAGAUUUCCCGGAGUCUUGAACUCCCUGAAGGGUCGUCGAAGACCACGACGUUGAUAGGUCAGGUGUGGAAGCGCAGCAAUGCGUUAAGCCAACUGAUACUAAUUGCCCGUGCGGCUUGAUCCC